UGUGUGUUCAACAGCGACACCAUGUGGCAGCGAGACCCAACAAGGAGACAGAAGCUGUUGGAAUGCAGGCCUCUUUCCCUGUGACAUUUGAAAGCAUCAACACAGUCUUCGCACGGGAGUCCAAUCUGCCAGAGAAGGGCAAAGCAAAUCGGGCCUUAUAUUAAAUUCCUGGAAGUCAAACUUCCUGGUCCAAUGAGGAACUUCUCAAGGGCCUUUGCUGGAGAAAGGAUGUUCAGCAAGAAUGAAGGACAGCUUCGUUCAGAUGGAUGAGCUUAGUGCAUCCUGAGCGGUGAGCUGACCGGGGCCCAGUUCUUCCUUCUACAUAUGGGGCCCAUCGCAUUCCCACUGACUCAGAUGCUGAGGGGCCAGACUGAAGGGACAGUGGCCAUUGCAUCAAGUCAGAGAACGGAUCUGACCCAUCUAGUAGAAGCUUAUUGUUUUGGCAGAAGCACAAGCUCUUAGAGGUGCAGCUGCAGGGUGUGACCUGUUGGGGACAUUGAGCUCAGUGACCAUGGGCCCUGAGAGUCUGAAAUCCUGGAAUUUCUCCCAAAACGAAGUCCAUGUAGGGAAGCCAAAGUGUGAGUCUUACCCGGCUGGUUUACAACUGACUGACAUUUGCUGCCUGGGCAGCUGCUGUGGGUGUCUGGAAACCCUACUGGACUAGGACUGGCCCCAGCAAAAAACAAGUGUUAUAGCUGCCCAGUGUCCUCUGAGUGGAUGCUGGUGAUUCUGGUAUGGAGCCCAGAUGUAAGGCAGCAGGUGGUCCAGAAGGCACCAGAAGAGGUCUCCUGUCAAAGUCAGGGCCAGAGAAGAAGGCACAGGGAACCUACUGCACGAGACUUUCACUUGCAACGAGCAACCCAUGAUGAGGAGGGAGGAUUCCUGGGGGCAUUGAGUCCCCCAGACACAAGGACCCAAGACCUUCUUGCUUGGAAAGUGAAUUACUCAGAAUUCCGAGAUGAUGCCAGUCUUGGAGGAAGAUGACAUGAGGACCCAAAACCUUCUUGCUUGGAAAGUGAAUUCCUGAGAAUUCCGAGAUGAUGCCAGUCUUGGAGAAAGAUGACAUGAGGACCCAAAACCUUCUUGCUUGGAAAGUGAAUUCCUGAGAAUUCCGAGAUGAUGCCAGUCUUGGAGGAAGAUGACAUGAGGACCCAAAACCUUCUUGCUUGGAAAGUGAAUUUCUCAGAACUCCACGAAGACUCCAGUCUUGGAGGAAGAUGACAUGAGGACCCAAAACCUUCUUGCUUGGAAAGUGAAUUCCUCAGAACUCCACGAAGACUCCAGUCUUGGAGGAAGACGAGGUGUUGAGAGAUAGCUGGGAUCCCUGAGGAAGGCAGCCCCAGUCUCCGGUGGAGAAUUAAGAGGGGCCCAAGCAGAUGGUUGGUGGUGGAAACGUCACCUCAGUAUAGUACUAUGGAGUUUCCUUUCACCCCCAACAGCUGGUGGUUUCCAGGGGUGAAGAGUGAAAAUUGAAGCAAGGUGUCUACUGUCCAGCUGUAGACAAGGAGGCAGUGCGCCUGCCAUCCCCAAGGAAGAGUCAGUUCAGAAGCACAGCAGCUGCUGGAAACCCAGGAGGUUUCCAGUUCGUUCCUGCUGGGACCUGGCAAGAACUGCACUGUCAAGGCUGCAAGAGGCUCCUGACGGCUUCUGACAUGUACGGAAUGGAAUAAGAGAACCUAGCAGAAAUGGAAGCAGAGGCAAGAGGUCUGGAGGCCAGGAAAAUGUCAAUGGAAAGCAGCUAGCAUGAAGACCCCACAGUGUUCCUCCCUCUAGUAGUCUGGUAUUAUUUGGAGCUGAGAUGCUCCCAAUAUGGUUGGGACAUUUGUCCCCUCCAAAUCUCAUGUGAGAAUUUGAUCCCCCGCUUUGGGGAUGGGGUCUAAUGGGAGGAGUUUGGGUCAUGAUGGGGGACCCCUCAUGAAUGGCUUUGUGCCCUGCUCACCAGGAAUGAAUGAGCUCUCACUCUACUAGUUCACUGGAGAGCUGGUUGUUUAAAGAGCCUGGCAUCUCCCCCACUUUCUCUCUUGCUCCCCCUUCUCACUGUGUGAUAUACCUGCUCCCCUUUGCCAUCCAUCAUGAGUGGAAGCUUCUUGAAGCCUCCACCUAAAGCAGAUGCCGACACUAUGCUUCCUGCACAGCCUGCCAU
rnacentral:lncRNA from 1 species